AGGCGCAGAAGUACAUGUGUGCGCGCCGAAGAUGAGCGCGGACUACUCACGUAUGUGUGCGGCGGAGAAUGCGUCGGAGUCGCAUCCGCCGGCGUACUCGCGCGACGCACUUGAGAGGGAGUUGCGCGAGGGCUUCCGCAAGCAGCAGCAACAAGUUAACAAAAUCCGGCAGGUGGAGCACAUGGCACUCGCCAAGGGCUUGGGUGAGUCUGCCGCGACGUCGUUGAAAGACGGCUUCUAUAUCCCGCAUAAGGUGCUGCCGCCUCUCAAGCCAGAGGAGAAGAGGCUGUUUGAGCGGAUAGACAUAAGGAAGUGGUGCCGACAUGCGGAGAGGAAGCUGGAGGACUCUGUCGUGGCUCCUCCACCCACGCUCGGCGAGGACUCUGCAGAGCACCGUCCGAUGCAGGUCCAGGAGCAUCAAAAAUCUACAGAGGCGGGCGCUGAGGAUGCCCUCAGCACUUCCCUUUCUUCUACGGCCUCGUCGCUUGCAGCUCUCGAGGGCAACUCUUCCGAAGAUGUUCGGCAGUUUCUACACCAGCUGCGCUCCACAUCACGAGCCACCUCCUCUCUCCGCGAUGCACGUGCGGAGGUGGAUGACAAUAUUCAGGCCGUAGAGGAGGCGCUGUUACGGCAGAGCUCGCCGCUUUCUUUCGAGGAUCUGCUUGAUACCGCAGCCCGUCUGCUGGCCGCGAUGGAGCGCGGUGAACUCACGGAAGAUGUGUUGGUGCCGCGGGGUGCGGAUGUUAGUACGGAGAAGGAUGAAGGCAACCCGGGAAGCCCUGCGGACUCUGCAGAUGCGCCCUCGUCGGCGAGCGGCUCAACAACCCGUGUUCUGCACGGCGCUGUGGAGGUGGAAACGUACACUCGUAGGCAUCUUCUCCCGAGAGCCUACCAGGUGGUCGCCAUUGCGCACACCGCGGAGUGGAUUCUGCAGUACACGAUGGCCUACCUGCGCACCACAGUGACUGUGAACCAAGACGAGGCGUUCACUCGCCUAGCCCUGCUGGCGCGCUGCGUGCGGCUGCUCGGCAAUAUAGAGAACUUCUCCUCCAUCCUCUUAUCUCUGGAAACCAAGUGCGAGGAGUAUGCAGGUUUCGCGGCGCUCAAGGACACGGCAGAGAAGCACCUGGGCACACUGCUGGAUGAUGUGGAAGCCUCGCUGGACUCCAUUUUGAGCGCGCCGUUUCCGUCUCGUCGCUCACGCCUUCUGCUACUCGAGGGUGGAAUCCAGAAGAAGCUGCAGCGUGCUCUGCUCUUCCUCAACGAAAUCGACUACAGCUGGACGCCGCAUGUGCACUUUCACUGGGCCUGGAAGGUGCAACUGCUCAGCACGUCGUUUCACCGCAUUCAUGGGCGCAUUUCUCGCAAGCACAUGCAGUGCAGUAUGGGUUUUGUGGACAGCUCCCUCUACGAGAGGGUGGCUGACACGCGCAUUACCGGCCGCUACAUGGGCGCCUCCCCGGUUCAACCGAAAGUGCUCCGCGCGCAGCAGGUGGAGUAUGAGAAGAUCACAGAGGGCCUCACGUUUCAGCAAAUCGGUAUGUCAAUCAAAGGGGUGGCGAGUCUUCUUGUUGGCGAGCAGUUGUGCAUGGGGGCACGGUACAUUCUCUGCCAAUCCACGAAGCAGUUCGACCAGGUCUGGGGCUUUCACAUGGAUGAAAUCAGCACAGCACCGACGCAAGAGGAGCUCUCCGCGACGGCGGCAAAGAUAGCGACGCAUGCCAAGGAGCAGCUAACUGCACGACCGACUAUCGAAAGAAAAGAGCACUCCUCCUCGACCUUUCUCACCCAGAUGUAGAUGGUCAUGUUCAGGGUAAGUUCGUCCAUAUUUGCGCGUGUGUGUUGUUUUUCUGCGUUUCCUUUGCGUGCGUCUCACUCUGGUUGCACCAUUCGUGUCUCCGCGGCUUUGCCGUGAGUAUCCGGGCUACCUUCCUCUCUCUGCUCUCAUGGAUGUAAACCAUUUUUUUUCUCUACUCCGAUGUGCUUAUUUCCUCCGAUGACGGAGGUAAGCGGAGGGCCAACAGCUCACCGUGCGCGGCAUCUCAGGGUCCAGUGCACUUCCCCACCCCUCCCCCCCCGCACAAACACACACACACGCAUUAUGUCUGUGUGCGGAGGAGCGAAGCGGCCCCUUCCACCCCCCACCCCCUACCUCUGCUAAUGCCGAACUACCUCCGGCCGUGACAAGAUCCAGUACCCACAGCGUAGGGAUGUCAGUGCGAUGUAUCGCUGCUGACGCCGGCGGUGUAGUCGUGGAUGGGCGCGGCUGUGAUGCGACCAGCGAGGCACUGGUGGGUAGGGUUUGAGGCAAAGGCCACGCUCUCCGAUGGCCGGGUCGGCGCACUGCUGCAAGGCGCGUCUGUGCGACUGCUUCGCACGCACGCGGACGUUACUCCAUCUUGCACACUCGCGUUCCCUCUGUCUUCAAACGCGUCUACUGGGGCGGGCACACAUCGGCACAACUAAG
rnacentral:misc_RNA from 1 species